UACGUAGGGGGCUAGCGUUGUCCGGAAUCAUUGGGCGUAAAGCGCGCGUAGGCGGCCCGGUAAGUCCGCUGUGAAAGUCAAAGGCUCAACCUUUGAAUGUCAGCGGAUACUGCCGGGCUAGAGUCCGGAAGAGGCGAGUGGAACUCCUGGUGUAGCGGUGGAAUGCGCAGAUAUCAGGAAGAACACCAACGGCGAAGGCAGCUCGCUGGGACGGAACUGACGCUGAGGCGCGAAAGCGUGGGGAGCAAACAGG
rnacentral:rRNA from 1 species